UACAGAGGGUGCAAGCGUUAAUCGGAAUUACUGGGCGUAAAGCGUGCGCAGGCGGUCUGUUAAGACAGAUGUGAAAUCCCCGGGCUUAACCUGGGAACUGCAUUUGUGACUGGCAGGCUAGAGUAUGGCAGAGGGGGGUAGAAUUCCACGUGUAGCAGUGAAAUGCGUAGAGAUGUGGAGGAAUACCGAUGGCGAAGGCAGCCCCCUGGGCCAAUACUGACGCUCAUGCACGAAAGCGUGGGGAGCAAACAGG
rnacentral:rRNA from 1 species